rnacentral:tRNA from 1 species
GGGCCCGUAGCUCAGCCAGGUAGAGCGGCGGGCUCUUAACCCGUAGACCAAAGAGGGCGGAGGUCCCGGGUUCAAAUCCCGGCGGGCCCGCCA